rnacentral:rRNA from 1 species
UACGUAGGGAGCAAGCGUUGUCCGGAAUCAUUGGGCGUAAAGCGCGCGUAGGUGGCCUCAUAAGUCCGCUGUGAAAGUCAAAGGCUCAACCUUUGAAAGCCGGUGGAUACUGUGGGGCUAGAGUACGGAAGAGGCGAGUAGAAUUCCAGGUGUAGCGGUGAAAUGCGUAGAUAUCUGGAGGAAUACCGGUGGCGAAGGCGGCAUCCUGGACCGGCAUUGACGCUGAUGAGCGAAAGCUAGGGGAGCAAACGGG